UACAGAGGUCUCAACCGUUGUUCGGAUUCAUUGGGCGUAAAGGGUGCGUAGGCGGUCGUGCAAGUCGGAUGUGAAAUCUCAGGGCUCAACCCUGAAACUGCAUUCGAUACUGCGCGGCUAGAGUGCUGGAGGGGAGACUGGAAUUUACGGUGUAGCAGUGAAAUGCGUGGAUAUCGUAAGGAAGACCAGUGGCGAAGGCGGGUCUCUGGACAGUUCCUGACGCUGAGGCACGAAGGUCAGGGGAGCAAACGGG
rnacentral:rRNA from 1 species